AGAGUUGAUCCUGGCUCAGGAUGAACACUGGCGGCGUGCCUAAUACAUGCAAGUCGAGCGAACAGAUAAGGAGCUUGCUCCUUUGACGUUAGCGGCGGACGGGUGAGUAACACGUGGGUAACCUACCUAUAAGACUGGAAUAACUCCGGGAAACCGGGGCUAAUGCCGGAUAACAUUUAGAACCGCAUGGUUCUAAAGUGAAAGAUGGUUUUGCUAUCACUUAUAGAUGGACCCGCGCCGUAUUAGCUAGUUGGUAAGGUAACGGCUUACCAAGGCAACGAUACGUAGCCGACCUGAGAGGGUGAUCGGCCACACUGGAACUGAGACACGGUCCAGACUCCUACGGGAGGCAGCAGUAGGGAAUCUUCCGCAAUGGGCGAAAGCCUGACGGAGCAACGCCGCGUGAGUGAUGAAGGUCUUCGGAUCGUAAAACUCUGUUAUUAGGGAAGAACAAAUGUGUAAGUAACUAUGCACGUCUUGACGGUACCUAAUCAGAAAGCCACGGCUAACUACGUGCCAGCAGCCGCGGUAAUACGUAGGUGGCAAGCGUUAUCCGGAAUUAUUGGGCGUAAAGCGCGCGUAGGCGGUUUCUUAAGUCUGAUGUGAAAGCCCACGGCUCAACCGUGGAGGGUCAUUGGAAACUGGGAAACUUGAGUGCAGAAGAGGAAAGUGGAAUUCCAUGUGUAGCG
rnacentral:rRNA from 1 species